rnacentral:rRNA from 1 species
UACGGGGGGGGCAAGCGUUGUUCGGAAUUACUGGGCGUAAAGGGCUCGUAGGCGGCCAACUAAGUCGGAUGUGAAAUCCCCAAGCUUAACUUGGGAACUGCAUCCGAUACUGGAUGGCUUGAAUCCGGGAGAGGGAUGCAGAAUUCCAGGUGUAGCGGUGAAAUGCGUAGAUAUCCGGAGGAACACCGGUGGCGAAGGCGGCUUCCUGGACCGACACUGACGCUGAGGCGCGAAAGCUAGGGGAGCAAACGGG